CAUUUAAAUAGAUAAAAAUCUUGUUAAAUUUCCAUGUGACAUGAGUAGUAUAAAUACACUGUGUUUUUACACGGUUGAUUCAGACAUAUAUUUAAACCUUGAAGUUGUAAACAUAAUAAGGAUAUAGCCUAAGCUAGCAUGGAUACUAAAUGUUUGAUGGUGCUUUUUAUGUUCCUGUAUAUUGUAUUUGUUUCUACAAUUGAGGCAGUGCAUUACAUUACCAAACCAUUUCAAUUUAUUGGAUCAUGUAAGUUUAUUUAAUUUAAAAUAUUUUUAGAUUUUCAAUUUACUUUCACAAUAUAUUGAACACAUGAAGUUACGUCUUGUUUAUUGUGUUGUUGAUACAUUGACGAAUAUUCUAUAUCCAAUGUGCACGACAUGCGUUGCUUACAUAUAUAUAUUUCAAAGGAAAUUCUUCAGAAAAAAAUGUUUGUAUAGCAAAGUAUAUUUUUUAUAGACUAUGCGGUACGAGCUUUGCUUACUGUUGAAGGCCGUACUGUGAUCUAUAGUUGUUAGUUUCUGUGCCAUUUGGUUUAAUGUGGAAAGUUUGUCUCGUUGACAAUCAUGCCACAUUUUUUAUUAUAUCAAAGGUAAAGGACAGUCAAAUCAAUUGAUAUUUUAAAGAUGUUGCAGAAAAAAAGCAGCUUUACAAUAAAUAAUACCAUUCUGUUUUUCAGGUUAUGGGAAAGGAAAGCGGGUGAUAGGACAGAAUAAUGGAGAAAUGGAUUGAAGAAUUGCUUUUAUUGGAAGAAAUUAAUAAGGAUACAUAUUUCCAAGAAUGAACAAUUCGUGCUGAGACAAAUCGAAGAUGAAUAAUGAAUAUGCUCAGUUUGUCUGGACAUUUGCCGAUCCCGUACUGAUUGCAUGGUCAAUCGUGCGCAGAUGAAAAACUGCAAUAUACGAUAAUGUGGAAGGAGUUUUUGGUCAACAGAUGUUAGAUUUGAACGUUAGUUGACAGAAUAAAUGGAAAUAAACAUAGAUGUAUAUGAAAAGAAAAAUAAUGCAUUUGCAGUAAAGAAAAUCGUAAAUAAAGCAUAUCUAUAUUACCGUUGUAAGUUGUUUACAGUACAUACAGCGGUUUUAUCAUAUACAAAUGCGUGGGAAGUUUUAAUGCAAUCUUAUAUGCCAAGAUAUUUAGUUUUUAACUUCCUUAUAACUUAGCUCAAACUGAUUUUGAUUGUGUUGACUUCUAUAACGCUUUCGUUCUAUGUAUAUUAAACACUUAUAUAUAAACUACUUAUUUUUUGUUAUUUUUAUUUGAUUAUUUUUACAAAUGGAUCUUAGAGUACUUUUAGGUACGGUGGUAUAAUUUUGGUGAUUAGGUUGAUGUGCACUCUGUAAACCAGUUAAAUAACGGUUUUAAUAGUAGUGGUUUUAAAAUAUAGAAUCACUACUUAUAGAGGCACGGUCGACCGCAUCUUAUGUUGUCAGUUUUUCUCGAUCUAUGAGUUUGACUGUCCCUCUGGUAUCUUUCGUCCCUCUUGUAUAUAUUAGACUUAGCAUUUUGUACGUAAUACACAAGACGCGCGUUUUGUUAAUAGUCAAUAAUGAUGCUCGAAUAAAAAAGUAACAAACCCAAAAUAAGGCACCAAGAUCAAGAAAUUUCAGGCCCAACAUUUCCGAAAGGUUUGGCCAAUCUCAAGUAAUAAAAUCUAUUGCUGAGUUAAAAAUCGAAAUUUGUUUAUUAAAAGUUCAAAGUUCGACUUUAUGUGAAUGGCUUUGGGUUAUUUGUUUGGUUACCGGAAUGCAAUAGUAUAAAAGAGGGACGAAAGAUACCAAAAGGGAACAGUCAAACUCACAAAUCGAUAACAAACUGACAACGCCUGGCCAAAAAUGAAAGAAGACAAACAGACAAACAAUAGAAUACAUGACACAACAAAGAAAAACUAAAGAAUAAGCAACACGAAGCCCACCAAAAACUAGGGGUGAUCUCAGGUGCUCCGGAAAGGUAAGCAGAAUCUGCUCCACAUGUGGCACCCGUCGUGUUGCUUAUGUUAUAACAAAUCCGGUAAAUAGUCUAUAACUGUAAAAUGUUUGUUUUGCAUUAUCAAAGAGUUGAAAAAGAAGGGCAUAGUUUCCCUGUAUCUCCGAUCUGUUUUUGCACUUCAAAGCAGUAAGUGUGUUACUACAUGCCAUUAAAGCUUAUGCAUUGUUUCGAUAUUAAGUAAAUUUUUAAAUAAACUGACACAAGUUAUAUAAAUUGAAGGUUGUUAUGGUUUUUAAUUGUUUGACACAGAGAAUUAACAACUAAUUAGCUCUAUAUAGUUUGUUUCCGUUAACCUAGAUUGAUCGGUGGUUGUCUCUUUGAUGUCUAUAACACCACGGAAAAAAGUGAAAGAACAAAAAAUACAGAACUCCGAGGAAAAUUCUAAACGGAAAGUCCGUAAUCAAAUGGCAAAUUCAAAAGCUCAAAAACAUCAAACGAAUGGAUAACAGUUGUCAUAUUCCUGACUUGUUGAAGGCAUUUUCUUAUCUAGAGAAUGGUAAUUAAACUAGGUUUCAUAGCUAGCUAAACCUCUCAAUUGUAUGACAGUCAUAUCAAACCAUUAUAUUGACAAUGAUGUGUGAACAAAACGAAGAUACAUUAAAGGUAAAAAAAAAAUCAAAAAUAGGGGUACAGCAAUGGACAGGUGUCAUAAUCCCAAUCCAAUCGCUGUAGCAAAAUAUGUCAACAAAGAAAAAUAAAAAAAGCAUAUAGACAUAGAACGAAAGACAAGAAUACAAAUUUACUAUAGCACAAUAACACAAUAUCGGGAUGUACAUUAAGGACCGAUCCAAGCACCCACGAAGUAUUUUAUUGUCAGUGUAAUACUACUAUUAUCACAUAUACCCUUCUAACCAUCGUUACGAUUCCAAACAGGAACAGUUGUCAAAAUGAAGAGGACUAGAUUCCCCUGUGUUUGUUUUACUCACAAGGGUCUUAUCUGACAGUUGUUAAAUCCAGUUUGAAGAAGAGAGUCUAUUGUAUUAAAUGAGAAAAAAAAUCUAAUUAUUUCAAUCUGCAUUUUAAUUUUGAAUGAGGAGGGUAACGAAGUAAAAUGUGUUUGUAAUAAUAGUAAUACAAUAGGAACAAUAAUUAAAUUGUUUGUACACUAACAGUUUAGAAUCCACAACCCUACAGUAGAUAGUUUCAUAGUUACUCUGAAAUCAGGCUUUUGCCUUUGUACAAAUUUGGAAAAAAAGUCUUAUGAAGCAUUUGGUAAACCUGUCAACGUAUAUUUGUU
rnacentral:lncRNA from 1 species